ensembl:lncRNA
AAAAUGAGACCUGAAUGAUACAUUUUUGGAGGCUCAGUGUUGUACGAAUAUAUAUUUUUUUAAACAAACAAAAAAACAAAAGAAAACAACAACUGACUAUAACCAAAAGAGGGAAAUUCUGGAAUUAACACUACAAAGUUAUUGGCUUGAUGUUGUAAGAGCAGCAAGGUAGCACUGUAUGUGAAACACAGUACUGAUUCACUUCUGAUUCAUUCACCCUCCUCCACACACACACACACACACACACACCCUGUUUUAGGCCAUGAGGUUAUAUCAUUCAUUCCUUAACAGACUCAUUCCUUAACGCUGCUUUAUCUAAAAUUAGUUGCCUGUUUCAGGAGGUGAAAUUGCAAGAUCUGCAAAUACCAAAAGUCACAUUUUUGCUUAGCUGGUGAAUUUCUUACGGUCUAUUGCGAUAUGUACAGAUAUUGGUGGAUGGGACGAAUGAUUUUAUACUGCCACCAGUGGGGAAAUUCUCAGAUAGGCAUUGCAUGUGCUCGGGGUGGAAAAUACUUGAGUAAUUGUACUCUGUUACUAUUCUCAAUAAGUAAUAUUAUUAUUGUGGCAUAUUUAUACUUUACCUGAGUGUUACUGAAAUGGAAUACUUGUUCUCAUAAUCAAUUACAAUUCUAAGAAAAACCUUACUUUUUACUACUUGGGUCUUAUUUAGUCCUUGCAGGUCUCUUCUUCUCUCAUCUAGCCAUUGAGUAUACGCUAAACAUGGAUAGAAUGGAUACAGUUUAGCAAUCAUUUCAAUUUAAGGCAUCUAGUCAAGUUCAGCAACGUAAAAACUAUCCACGAUCGUGCUAAUUUGCCAUCUGCGCUGAGCUUCUCAUGUUACACAAUCAGUGUGUGUCUGAAUAUGGAUAAGAGACCAGACUGCAGUGUUGAACUACCAUGGAUGAACCCCCCACACACCCACACACCCCCUAGCCCUGGCUCAGUAAAAUGUUUCAAUAUGCUGGAGAAAAAGACUAGUUAGUAUACAAACGAGACGUCUCCUUUGCGUCCCUAGAAGGCAUGAAAGCAUGUUGAGAUAAGUUUAGCUAAUUUGCUAUCCUUAACUGCCUAUAUUUGACUAAGGUAGCCAUGUUUGACUAGCAUCAAUUCCAGUAGCUAACAUAAUUGGCUACUGGAAUUCAAAUUCUAGCUAAAGGUCAAUGUUGGUUAUGUACAUGAUAUUUUAUUUCAGAUUAAUUCUUUAGCAAACUACACAGUAUUAGUCAUGCACAUAAUCAGCAAAAUGGCAUAGUUUUCAGGCAAAAUGGCAUAGUUGCUUAUAACAAUUAUAAAUAAGUAAUAGAAGUUAGUUUUCAUAUGAAAACAUGACAAUACUUAAUUUCAUCGGUUAAAAACAUUUAAGUUUAACUUUUUAUUAUUUAAGUACAUUUCAAUUUUAGAAAAGUUUUUUUUUUUUUUUUUUUAACUUUUACUUGACUACAUUUUAGGAUGCAUACAUCUUCACUUGAGUAUAAUUUCUCAGUAUGUUUUCCACCCCUGGAUUUAAUCCAUGCUGAAUUCUUCCCAGGUCCACCACCAGAGAUGCUAACAUUAUGCAAACUAACAUGAAGAGAUUCAGAUAUUGAAAAAGUGUAUCUGAAACACCCAUUUCAAAGCUACCUCAUGGCACAUUUCAAUUAGGAUUGCCCAACACUGCUCAGACAACACCGAAACCCUGUACAAAAGCAUGCCAUACAAUCAUCAUGACACGGUUUACUGUGAUAGUCAGAAUUUAUCAUAAUCAUCUUCUAGAGACAAAAUAGUCAUAUACACUUACAAAACUCUGAAAAUCAGUAGCGGUAGCAUAAUUCACCAGCAUUCAGUAGAAAAGAAACCAAGAAUCAAAUGAAAAAUAAAAUUCACCAAAAAAUGCUGCCAAAAUUCAUGCAAGUUAAUGGCCACCAAGAUUAUGUUAGCACUACAUAGCUGUUUUACAAGAUAUCUAUUUCGCUAAAAUUAAACUCCGUUAUAGAUCUCAAGGAUUCCUUGCAAUACUAAACACGCAGAAAGAAAGGAAAGAACAACACUACACUAGAGUAUGCUGACAUGCUGCUUUGAUUGCUUCAAAAAAAAGUUCUCACAUGGUUCACCAUUCACAAAGAGCUCUUCUCUGAAGUGAUGUGUGGGGUUCAGAAACAUACUACAAAACCAUAUUCACAUUUCAGAACAAAAUGUAAAAGAAUUAGAGAAAUAAAUUGAAAUAAAAUCAUGAAAAGAAAUAAAAUCAGCAGUCUUCCAGUGAAUUCCAGUCUUGAGAAUGAAGUGCUCCUCAGACAGUGAGACACCUUUAAAAAAAAAAGGCUAUUUAAACUUAAUUAACAGCAUUUUAAAAAAUCAGUCUCAUGCACACAUACACACACUUGUGUAUCCCUGAUACCCAUGCAGUGGCUUUUUCCCAUUCUUUUCAUAAUCUAGGAGAAAUCAAAUGGUGAUUCUUUACUGCAUACUGCAGUUUUAUUGCAUACUGUGUCUCAUAUAUAUGGGGAAAGCCCUUAAGCUU